GGAGGAAUACCCAAGUCCGGCUGAAGGGAUCGGUCUUGAAAACCGACAGGGGUGUAACAGCCCGCGGGGUUCGAAUCCCCCUUCCCUCC
rnacentral:tRNA from 1 species